UACAGAGGGGGCAAGCGUUGUUCGGAAUUACUGGGCGUAAAGGGCGCGUAGGCGGCCUGCUAAGUCGAACGUGAAAUCCCUGGGCUCAACCCAGGAACUGCGUCCGAUACUGGUUGGCUUGAAUCCGGGAGAGGGAUGUGGAAUUCCCGGUGUAGCGGUGAAAUGCGUAGAGAUCGGGAGGAAGGCCGGUGGCGAAGGCGGCGCUCUGGAACAUUUCUGACGCUGAGGCUCGAAAGCGUGGGGAGCAAACAGG
rnacentral:rRNA from 1 species